rnacentral:sRNA from 1 species
AAGGGGGGGUCGGGGGAGUCAACCUUUGAUGGCACCUUGGGAGCAGUAACUAAGCAACUUCAUGGGAGAAGAGAAGAGUGCCAGGGACAGGGUAGAUCCAGCAGGCUCCAGCUGGUUUUCCUGUCCAGAGUGGAGGCAUCAGUGCAGGGCUUCGCCUGUAGUCUACAGACAAGAUUCCACCCCAAACUCCCAGUCUGCCAUGCAGCAGCUAGCUGGCUUUGGGCAAGUCACUUUACACCUUACACCUUUCUGCCUGGACUUUGGUUUUCUCAUGUGUGAAAUAGGGCAUCGGGCUAGAUCAUCUUUGUCCCUUCCAGCUUAAAUGUUCUGUGGAUCUAGGUGGGAAUGACUGUUCACUGCCGCAUCAUGAAGAUUGACAUUGAGAAGUUCAGUGCAGACCUGACCUGCCGCACAUCAGACCUCAUGGACAGGAACAAUGAGUGGAAGCUGCCCAAAGACACCUACUAUGACUUUGAUGCUGAAGCUGCAGACCACAAGCAGGAGGAGGACAUGAAGCGGAAGCAGCAGCGGACCACAUACAUCAAGAGAGUGAUCGCACACCCAUCCUUCCAUAA